UACAGAGGUCUCAAGCGUUGUUCGGAUUCAUUGGGCGUAAAGGGUGUGUAGGUGGCGCCGUAAGUCGGGUGUGAAAUUUCGGAGCUUAACUCCGAAACUGCAUUCGAUACUGCGGUGCUUGAGGACUGGAGAGGAGGUACGUAGUAAUUCGAUGGUGUAGCAGUGAAAUGCGUAGAGAUCAUGAGGAAGACCAGUGGCGAAGGCGGGUCUCUGGACAGUUCCUGACACUGAGACACGAAGGCCAGGGGAGCAAACGGG
rnacentral:rRNA from 1 species